GCUCCGGUGACCUAGCGGUUGGAACGUCCGCUUCAGAUGCAGGAGGUCGCAGGUUCGAAUCCUGACCGAGUCA